CUACGUGCCAGCAGCCGCGGUAAUACGUAUGUCACAAGCGUUAUCCGGAUUUAUUGGGCGUAAAGCGCGUCUAGGUGGUUAUGUAAGUCUGAUGUGAAAAUGCAGGGCUCAACUCUGUAUUGCGUUGGAAACUGUGUAACUAGAGUACUGGAGAGGUAAGCGGAACUACAAGUGUAGAGGUGAAAUUCGUAGAUAUUUGUAGGAAUGCCGAUGGGGAAGCCAGCUUACUGGACAGAUACUGACGCUAAAGCGCGAAAGCGUGGGUAGCAAACAGGAUUAGAUACCCUGGUAGUCCACGCCCUAAACGAUGUCAAUUAGCUGUUGGGCAACUUGAUUGCUUAGUAGCGUAGCUAACGCGUGAAAUUGACCGCCUGGGGAGUACGGUCGCAAGAUUAAAACUCAAAGGAAUUGACGGGGACCCGCACAAGCGGUGGAUGAUGUGGAUUAAUUCGAUGCAACGCGAAGAACCUUACCUGGUCUUGACAU
rnacentral:rRNA from 1 species